rnacentral:lncRNA from 1 species
AUUUCCUCAUGCGUCCAGUAGGGGGAGGCUGUAUAUUAGUAUAUGAGCCUAGUCAUCAAAACAGCAGACCAUAUCUGUAUGAUAGCGGCAGACAUUUUUUUGAAGCGAUACGAAAUGAGCUUGCGUGACAUGGCUUCUUCUGUCUAUGAUGUGAACACACAAAAUACACAUUUAUAA